rnacentral:misc_RNA from 1 species
AGUCGUAACAAGGUAUCCGUAGGUGAACCUGCGGAUGGAUCAUUACCAAAGGAUUUUUCCUGACGUACUGUGAACUGUAUUGAAUGCAUGGUUAGUGAGUGGUGAUUUGUAGAGGUUAAUCUCUCUAUUAUUCCACUCUCACUAUAAACAAAACGUAUUUACUCUAUAAACUGACGUCUGCUUUAGCUUAAUAAACUAAAGACAACUUUUAGCAAUGGAUCUCUUGGCUCUC